AAAUCAUGCAUUAAGCAUUUACGCAACAAUUCUUUAAAUCUCUCCCCAAGCUUCAUAGAAAUUUUCAUCCUCAAAUUGCUUGAAAGAUGUAAUGUCAUUUCUCAAUAU